UGGGGCGGGGGAAAGGCAAGACAACUGGCAACGCGGAGCCCACCCAAUGGUUAGAUAGACGGGGCCCUGGAGUCCCAAGGGCCAAACCACCGCGGCUGGCCCUGAGGUCGUGGGCGUUUCUGAAGACGUGGCCGCGCCGUGGGGACUGAGGAUCUGCGCCCCGGCCUGCUCUCUCACCCCUCCCCUAGAAGCAUCUGGCCUUCUUUUUCCCUCCACAGUCAUCCAAUCUAAAGCUUCCCAACACCCAGAUGGACUACAUCUACGAAGGUGCCAGAAUGAGGCAGAAGUUAAUUCUCCCGCGGAAGGCAGUCCUGUCCUUGGAGUAGGCGUCAGGGCCGGAGUGGGCAGCGCAGCGUCUUCGCCGCCGCCCUGAUCGCCUGAGCUGCCAUCCCAAGCCGAAUUCUCAAAACUAAGGAGAUCGAAUAAUUGGACUCUUUCCUUUGUGGCUGUGGUUGGAAUAUGCACUGCCAUUCUCUUAGCAAGUCAUUUAUAGAUACUUUUAGAGAAGGAAACACCCAUACACUAUGAAAUGGUGAGCAAGUCGGUAAAUUUUGGAGUUGGGGCUUGCACAAAAGAUACAUUCCUAAUCACAUUCUCUGAGACCCUGCUGGAGGGACUGAGCAAUGGACCAAAAGAUAUGGAGAAAGAAGAUGAUAAAAAGACGAGAGAACCGAGUAAAAAUAUGGAGGAGAUGACGAGAGACAGAGCAGAAUGUGGAGAGAGGGUAAAAGAAGGAGCUGCAGCAAGUGAGCAAAAGAGAGAAUUGAUAGAGAAAAAGAAUGAGGCUUGAUAUGUAGGGGGAACAAAAGGCUUAAAUGACAAAAGAAAGAAAGAAAUUAAUGCACACUGUGGGAAACAGAAAAGCACCAGGAUUAUUUGCCUCAGUUUCUGCUCAGAGAGAUUGUUGCAAGUAGCUGCCUCAUCCCUUGCUGUAGGCAUUUCAUUUUAAAAAUCCCUUUUACUAUCACCCAAGUCAUAACAAAAAGUAAAGAACAGGGUGGAGGGCCAUGAAACAUUUAAUUCAAAUUGAUGUUCAUCUAAUAGGCAUUCUCUAUCCAGAAUUAGAGUAAAGAUGGUACCAUGUUGCUAAUACUGGAUCUCAAGAUGGUGAAGGGAAAGACAUCCAGGGGAUGUCUUGACUGACGCCAUUACUCUUCAAAAGAUGCUGCGAACCAUGAUAGGAUUUCAAAACUCUUAUGUGGUUGCUGAGACUCCUGGUUCUAGUUAUUUUCCUUUACCUCCAAAAUGGAGAUCAAACUGGAUGUUUUUCCCUGUGAUUUAGUCAGGAUCAAUGCCUCUGCCAUCGCAACCUCUGAUUCCUCAGGGAAAAGUAUACCUCCAGGCAAGUGAUGAGUCUUACUCUCAUUCACCCCUACUCAUAACCUUGAGAGAUUGUAAGGUCCUGGUUCUGCUAAUGGCGUAUGCAGGAAACCUGAAUUCCGGUUUCAAUUGGCACUAAUUAAUUGCAACACAUUUAUUGAUUCGUAUGUCGUUCAACAAAAACGCGUUAAAGUUUUUAAUUAUUUUAGGUGCCCCGAGUAAGAUUUAGCUGUGACAUCAAGGAUGUCACAGUCUAAUGGGAAAUAAAACAUGAAAACAAUUUUGUAACAUGGAGAGCUAAAUGCCGUGAUAGAUAUUUUCAGAGUGCCAAGGAAGGACACUGGACCUGUCUGAGGUGACAAGAUGCCUUUGCAUAUUGGGAAAUUACCUCACUGCAAUGGUAGCCUCCAAAUACACUUCCAGGAAGUCUGUCCCAGAGAGAAACACACCAGAAGGCCCACAGAAUAAAUUAAGAUGCACAUGUCACAUGGUUUAUUGAAUCGAUUUGAAAAAUACAGCAAGAAAGGGAAAUAUAUGGAGUAGGUUAAUACAGUAGGAUAGGUUGCAAACAGGUAGAAAGAACUGCUACGCAGAUCCUUGUACACAGAGGUACAGAAUGUUAUUAAUAUAGUAAUAUCUUCUGUUCCCCCUCUUUCUCCCCCUCCUCCUCCCCCUCCCUCUCCAUCAGCCUUCAUGGCUGGAGGUGGUGUGGAUGUGGGAGCCACCAGAAAUGAUCCAAAGUUCAGAUCACAGUAACUUUGUGUGCCAUGCUAAGGUAUUUGGGUCUUAUUCUAAAUGCAAUUGGAAAACUGAAGACUGUUAAGCAGGGAAAGCAUAUGACCAGAUUUAUAUUUUAGAAAUAUCAGUCAAUGGAUAGACAGUGCAGCGGGUGGAUUAGACAGUCACAUAGUUAGAUUUAGGAAGUUUUGCAUCAACCCACAAUAGACCUAAUGUAAGUAGAUCAGUUGCCUUGUGAGAUGAGAACUUACACAGUUGCAGUAGCUGUGGGGACGUGGACAGGAUAAUACAAAGUUGAGAGAAAAUGAGUGGAUUUAGGGAGAUUUGGGGGCAUCAGUUCCUAGUCUGCAAAAUGAAGCAAAUGGAUACAUAAUUUCAAAAAGUUAAAAAAUGUGUAAAUUUGAAAGGAGUUUAGAAAUCAUCUAGCCUGACUAGUCAGUUGUAAAGAUGAAAAAGUUUUCUUCAUGAAUGCUUAUGACUAAGAUUUGGGAAUAUCUGGAACCUGCAAGCAUUUUCCUAAGUAAUGAGAAUGAAUUUCCUUCUAAUUCUGGAAACUGUUUGUGGCCAACUGUGGGCCUAAACUUUUAUGCCAAAAAUUAGUAAAAUAGGCAAUGAAGUGAUUUGAAAGGGGGCAAAAGGGGCUCCCUCCAAGAACCACCUUAUACUUCCCAUAGUCUUGCCUUAAAUCUGGCACUGGUAACUCAUUAAGAUGGGGCCUGGCAUUGUCCUCUCCAGGCUCCUUUUUUAGAUGGCAAAGUCCCUAAGGUGAGGUAACAAAUUAGGUCACUAACACCUUUGAGUGAAUUAGAUUGUAUGAUGUUUUUCUCAAGACAGGAGUGGCUCAUGGUAGCCGAAGGACACUGGGACAUAUUGGAGAGGCCGGGCUGAAAGGCAGGGAGAAUUGUAAAGAAAGGAAAGGUUGUGGUAUUAGGGCCUUUGCAGUUUUUCCAAGUGUGGGCCUUGGCCUGACACCCUGGGCCUGUUGGAGCCUUCCAUGCCUGUUACUCAGUGUGGCUGAAACUGUCCGGUUCUGUCUUUUGGAUUUAGUUCUGAUAGGCAGAGCACAGUGAGACAGCAAGGAAACAAGAGCCCACCAGCUUUGUUGCAUCAUUCCGAUUUGUAUCAAGGUCUUAGAACCUUGAAACGUGUCCAUCAAAUAAGGGAUACCCUUCUAUUUCACUAUCAGAUGUGAGUUAAGAGCAAACAAUAAUUCAUGAUCUCUUUUUUUAACUACAGUGGGCCUCUUUAGAUGUAGUUGUGUUCAAGAGUAGAAGUAUUUCCGAGGACUAUGACAUUAUAUAAUGACUAAGAAAACAAAAAUAUCCAUUAAUGGUCAUAAGCAACCUUAGUGCAAUUUUAAUUUCACAGACAAGUUUUUGGACUGGGGAGAAAUCGUAGAAAAUACCCUAAAGAGAAAAGCAAAGAUGUUAAUUCUGAAGCAUAUCAGAAUUAAUGGGCUUAGAAUAUCUGAAGAGCAGGUAUUACAAAUGAAUUACAUUUGAUUUAUUUUUUAAGUGGGCCAUUCUCUAAAAUAGUCGGAUAUAAUUAUUAGGAAAGAUAAACUCUGCCUCUAGAUAUAUAACAUUGAUUUAUUAUUAAUUUCAGUAUAUUGAUUCUUAUAUGAAAAUUGGGCACCCAGAUAUUUUACACAUUCAGUAAAAUAUUUCACAGUGUUUUGUUUAACACACAUCUUAAAUUGGAGAGAGAUAAUUUCAUAGCAAACUUUGGUAAGGCAGAAUGACUAUCAGAUUUUAUAGGUGAAUACAUCAGCAAUAGAAGUGACGAUCAUAAGUGUGCUUUAGUUACUGUUAUUUCUACGAUUUAAUAGGUAUGGCAGAAUCAUAUUAUUGGAGUAAUUCCAUAGAAUGAAAGCAGAAUAAAAAUAGGAAUCUAGGUAAUUUCCCUAGGUUAAAUUAAAUGAUCAUUUUUCUUUAAUUUAUGAUACACUUUUUAAAAUAUUACA